rnacentral:rRNA from 1 species
UGGGGAAUCUUGCACAAUGGACGAAAGUCUGAUGCAGCGACGCCGCGUGCGCGAUGACGCCCUUCGGGGUGUAAAGCGCUUUCGGCUGGAACGAUAAUGACGGUACCAGCAGAAGAAGCUGCGGCUAACUACGUGCCAGCAGCCGCGGUAAUACGUAGGCAGCAAGCGUUGUUCGGAGUUACUGGGCGUAAAGAGUCUGUAGGCGGUGCUCUAAGUUUGGUGUGAAAUCUCCCGGCUUAACCGGGAGGGUGCGCCGAAGACUGGGGUGCUGGAGUCUGGGAGAGGAAAGCGGAAUUCCUGGUGUAGCGGUGAAAUGCGUAGAUAUCAGGAGGAACACCGGUGGUGUAGACGGCUUUCUGGACCAGUACUGACGCUGAGAGACGAAAGCGUGGGGAGCAAACAG